AUUAACGCUGGCAGAGUGCAUAACACAUGCAAGUCGAGCGGGGUUUACAGCUUAUCGUAGACCUAGCGGCAGACGAGUGAGUAACACGUAAGCAACAUACCCUCGAAUGGUGGAUAACGCACCGAAAGGUGUGCUAAUACGCCGUAUGAUCAUAGGGCGGCAUCGCCUGGUGAUGAGAGACCCGCAAGGGUCGUUUGAGGAGUGGCUUGCGGCCCAUCAGCUAGUUGGUGAGGUAACGGCCCACCAAGGCUAUGACGGGUACCCGGCCUGAAAGGGCGAACGGGCACGAAGGCACUGAGACACGGGCCUUACUCCUACGGGAGGCAGCAGUGGGGAAUUUUGGACAAUGGGCGAAAGCCUGAUCCAGCAACUCUGCGUGAGGGACGAAGUCCUUCGGGACGUAAACCUCUUUUGCUUGGGACGAACACCCGCAAGGGUUUGACGGUACCAGGCGAAUAAGCCACGGCUAACUACGU
rnacentral:rRNA from 1 species